rnacentral:rRNA from 1 species
AUACGUAGGUGGCAAGCGUUAUCCGGAAUUAUUGGGCGUAAAGCGCGCGUAGGCGGUUCUUUAAGUCUGAUGUGAAAGCCCACGGCUCAACCGUGGAGGGUCAUUGGAAACUGGAAAACUUGAGUGCAGAAGAGGAAAGUGGAAUUCCAUGUGUAGCGGUGAAAUGCGCAGAGAUAUGGAGGAACACCAGUGGCGAAGGCGACUUUCUGGUCUGUAACUGACGCUGAUGUGCGAAAGCGUGGGGAUC